GAUGAACGCUGGCGGCGUGCCUAACACAUGCAAGUCGAACGAAUAAAGCGCACUUGUGCGUCUAUAGAGUGGCGAACGGGUGAGUAACACGUGACCAACCUGCCCCCGCAUCGGGAUAACGCAAGGAAACCUGCGCUAAUACCGGAUACCCCAUCCCUUUUGCAUGAAAGGGAUGGAAAAGCUUUUGCGGCGGGGGAUGGGGUCGCGGCCCAUUAGGUAGUAGGUGGGGCAACGGCCCACCUAGCCUUCGAUGGGUAGCCGGGUUGAGAGACCGAACGGCCACAUUGGGACUGAGAUACGGCCCAGACUCCUACGGGAGGCAGCAGUGGGGAAUUUUGCGCAAUGGGGGAAACCCUGACGCAGCAACGCCGCGUGCGGGAUGACGGCCUUCGGGUUGUAAACCGCUUUCAGCAGGGAAGAUUGUGACGGUACCUGCAGAAGAAGCUCCGGCUAACUACGUGCCAGCAGCCGCGGUAAUACGUAGGGAGCAAGCGUUAUCCGGAUUUAUUGGGCGUAAAGCGCGCGUAGGCGGUUGCCUAAGCGAAGCCUCUAACCCGAGGGCUCAACCCCCGGCCGGGCUUCGAACUGGACGACUCGAGUGCGGUAGAGGAAGAUGGAAUUCCCGGUGUAGCGGUGGAAUGCGCAGAUAUCGGGAAGAACACCGAUGGCGAAGGCAGUCUUCUGGGCCGGCACUGACGCUGAGGCGCGAAAAGCUAGGGGAGCAAACAGGAUUAGAUACCCUGGUAGUCCUAGCCGUAAACGAUGGGCGCUAGGUGUGGGGGGAAUCUCCCUCCGUGCCGCAGCUAACGCAUUAAGCGCCCCGCCUGGGGGAGUACGGCCGCAAGGCUAAAACUCAAAGGGAAUUGACGGGGGCCCGCACAAGCAGCGGAGCAUGUGGYUUAWUUCGAAGCGACGCGAAGAACCUUACCAGGACUUGACWUGCACAUGAAGCCGGGGGAAAACCCGGUGGCCGARAGGAGUGUGCGCAGGUGGUGCAUGGCUUGUCGUCAGCUCGUGUCGUGAGAUGUUGGGUUAAGUCCCGCAACGAGCGCAACCCCUGUUCUGUGUUGCCAGCAUUAAGUUGGGGACUCACAGAAGACUGCCGGCGUCAAGCCGGAGGAAGGUGGGGACGACGUCAAGUCAUCAUGCCCCUUAUGUCCUGGGCUGCACACGUGCUACAAUGGCCGGUACAACGGGCUGCAACUGAGCGAUCAGAAGCGAAUCCCACAAAGCCGGCCCCAGUUCGGAUCGGAGGCUGCAACUCGCCUCCGUGAAGUCGGAGUUGCUAGUAAUCGCGGAUCAGCAUGCCGCGGUGAAUACGUUCCCGGGCCUUGUACACACCGCCCGUCACACCACCCGAGUCGUCUGCACCCGAAGCCGCCGGCUGAACCCUUUUAAGGGACAGAGGCGUCGAAGGUGUGGAGGGUAAGGGGGGUGAAGUCGUAACAAGGUAGCCGU
rnacentral:rRNA from 1 species